GUGCUCACUUUGGUAGCACAUGUACUAAAAUUGGAACGAUACAAAGAUUAGCUGGCCCCUGCGCAAGGAUGAUAUGCAAAUUCGCAAAGCAUUCCAUUAAAAA
ensembl:snRNA U6 U6 spliceosomal RNA